GGCCUGGUGGUCUAGUAGUAUGAUUCCUUCUUAGGGUUCCCUUUCAAAAGUGUCGUUUGGAGGAGGUCCCGGGUUCAAUUCCCGGCCAGGCCC
rnacentral:tRNA from 1 species